rnacentral:rRNA from 1 species
UUGGACAAUGGGUGCAAGCCUGAUCCAGCCAUCCCGCGUGAAGGACGACGGCCCUAUGGGUUGUAAACUUCUUUUGUACAGGGAUAAACCUAGAUACGUGUAUCUAGCUGAAGGUACUGUACGAAUAAGCACCGGCUAACUCUGUGCCAGCAGCCGCGGUAAUACGGAGGGUGCAAGCGUUAUCCGGAUUUAUUGGGUUUAAAGGGUCCGUAGGCGGAUCAGUAAGUCAGUGGUGAAAUCUCAUAGCUUAACUAUGAAACUGCCAUUGAUACUGCUGGUCUUGAGUAAGGUAGAAGUAGCUGGAAUAAGUAGUGUAGCGGUGAAAUGCAUAGAUAUUACUUAGAACACCAAUUGCGAAGGCAGGUUACUAUGUCUUAACUGACGCUGAUGGACGAAAGCGUGGGGAGCGAACAGGAUUAGAUACCCUGGUAGUCCACGCUGUAAACGAUGCUAACUCGUUUUUGGGUUUUCGGAUUCAGAGACUAAGCGAAAGUGAUAAGUUAGCCACCUGGGGAGUACGAACGCAAGUUUGAAACUCAAAGGAAUUGACGGGGGCCCGCACAAGCGGUGGAUUAUGUGGUUUAAUUCGAUGAUACGCGAGGAACCUUACCAAGGCUUAAAUGGGAAUUGAUCGGUUUAGAAAUAGACCUUCCUUCGGGCAAUUUUCAAGGUGCUGCAUGGUUGUCGUCAGCUCGUGCCGUGAGGUGUUAGGUUAAGUCCUGCAACGAGCGCAACCCCUGUCACUAGUUGCCAUCAUUAAGUUGGGGACUCUAGUGAGACUGCCUACGCAAGUAGAGAGGAAGGUGGGGAUGACGUCAAAUCAUCACGGCCCUUACGCCUUGGGCCACACACGUAAUACAAUGGCCGGUACAGAGGGCAGCUACACAGCGAUGUGAUGCAAAUCUCGAAAGCCGGUCUCAGUUCGGAUUGGAGUCUGCAACUCGACUCUAUGAAGCUGGAAUCGCUAGUAAUCGCGCAUCAGCCAUGGCGCGGUGAAUACGUUCCCGGGCCUUGUACACCCCGCCCGUCAAGCCAUGGAAGUCUGGGGUACCUGAAGUCGGUGACCGUAAAA